GUAGGUGAACCUGCGGAAGGAUCAUUGCAAAUCAUGGGGGGUAGGUGCGGUAGGGGGAAGAGUGCGUGGGAUGGAAGGGUGCGUGGCUCUGCUGUGAGGCUAUGCUGCGUGCUAUUCCAUCUCGCACUCCUCCCACUGCGCCCUGCCGCCGACAUUUGGUCGGGAUGCGAGUCCCGGAUCAUAUUCACGCUUGUGCUGUUUGACAGAGUAAAUAUAUAUGAAUUAUGACAACUUUUAACAAUGGAUCUCUUGGCUCUU
rnacentral:misc_RNA from 1 species